rnacentral:rRNA from 1 species
AUUAACUACCACACUACCUUGAACACACUGGGUCUCAUGUGAUCUCACUAGCUAAACUCAGUCUGAUAAGUACUUGAAUGGAAGUAAAAUACAAUUAGAGAAGGUUUUUC